rnacentral:lncRNA from 1 species
GGAGAAAAGAUUGAUGUCAGUGAUCUGAAAAACGUUCUUGGAGACAUGGGGAUAGAAGUCAAUGAUAAGGAAUGCCUGGAACUGCUAAAAUUAUUACCAGUUGAUGGUGAUAAGAAAGUUUUUCAGAAUAGAUUGCUAGCAGGUUUGAAGUCUUUUGGAGGUGGGUAAUACAUGUGAUGAGAAAGUAUGUAAGACUGAGAUUCUUAAUCUUUGCAUUUAUGUUUUUCUAGUUAUUAAAUAAUGACUCCUCUGUCACCCU